rnacentral:rRNA from 1 species
GACGAACGCUGGCGGCGUGCUUAACACAUGCAAGUCGAGCGGUAAGGCCCUUUCGGGGGUACACGAGCGGCGAACGGGUGAGUAACACGUGGGUGACCUGCCUUUAGCUCUGGGAUAAGCCUGGGAAACCGGGUCUAAUACCGGAUAUGACUCCGCGGCGCAUGUUGUGGGGUGGAAAGCCUUGUGCGGCUGGAGAUGGGCCCGCGGCCUAUCAGCUUGUUGGUGGGGUGAUGGCCUACCAAGGCGACGACGGGUAGCCGGCCUGAGAGGGCGACCGGCCACACUGGGACUGAGACACGGCCCAGACUCCUACGGGAGGCAGCAGUGGGGAAUCUUGCGCAAUGGGCGAAAGCCUGACGCAGCGACGCCGCGUGAGGGAUGACGGCCUGGUGUAAC